CCCAAAGCACAGGACGCAGGUAGACCACUGCAGCAAAAACCGCGUCCGCGUACAAUAGCGAGCGUCCAACUCCAACCCACCACCGCUUCCCCCGUUCCCCACCCCGACCGACUGCUCCUCCUCCCCCGCGCCAUCCUCAAGGCAUCGUCGGUGCCGCAACUUCGCCGAGGAGGAAGCCCGCACCCCGGCCCCGAUCCGAUGGCCAACAGCAACCUCCCGCGGCGGAUCAUCAAGGAGACACAGCGGCUGCUCAGCGAGCCAGGAGGAGGGAGGCGGCGCUGUGGCCGUUCCUUGCCCGCGAGCGCCCAGAUCCGUCCCGCGGAUAUAUAUAUACCAAUCAAUGGUCCUGUGAUAUCGAGCUUCAGUUGAUGCCCAGUGCUGCUAGGAAGUGUGGGGCACAAGUGUUUGGCUUAAGUUCAUGGAAAAUGGUUCUCCACAACCUGGUGGAUGUGCUUUUGGGUUUUUAUUUCCUAUUGUAUGCACCAACCUUAGUAUUAUAUAUCAAACACAAACUACUAUAUAAAUCUUGCUGGUGUGCAUUCAUGUAAGCUUUUGUUGGAUAAUGUAAUAUGCAAGACAAGAUUGUAUGUGUGACUUUUUGGAUAAUGUAGUGUGAUGUAAUGUGCAAGAUAAGAUAUUGUGUGGUACAAUAUAUAUGUAUCGACCUCCAUAUCAUGUGUGACCUUAUAUCUUUGUGUGUAAUGAAAUUGAGCUUGAACGUGGGUUUGA